GACGAACGCUGGCGGCGCGCUUUACGCAUGCAAGUCGAACGGACCUUCGGGUUAGUGGCGGACGGCUGAGUAACGCGUAGGCAAUCUGCCCAGUGGCGGGGGACAACCUGCCGAAAGGCGGGCUAAUACCCCAUAAGUUCACCGGGUGAAAUUCCCGGUGAGGAAAGCAGCAAUGCGCCAUUGGAGGAGCCUGCGUCUUAUCAGGUAGUUGGUGGGGUAACGCCUACCAAGCCGAUGACGGGGAGCUGGUCUGAGAGGUCGACCAGCCAGAAGGGGACUGAGACACGGCCCCUACUCCUACGGGAGGCAGCAGCGAGGAAUCUUGGGCAAUGGGCG
rnacentral:rRNA from 1 species